GGAUGAACGCUGGCGGCGUGCCUAAUACAUGCAAGUCGAGCGCGACUGAUUACACCGUCCUUUUGGACACCGUAAUCAUCGAGCGGCGGACGGGUGAGUAACACGUGGGCAACCUACCCUUAAGACUGGGAUAACCGCGGGAAACCGUGGCUAAUACCGGAUAAUACUWUUAUACAACAGUAUAAUAGUUGAAAGRUGGAUUUCUAUCACUUAAGGAUGGGCCUGCGGCGCAUUAGCUAGUUGGUAAGGUAACGGCUUACCAAGGCGACGAUGCGUAGCCGACCUGAGAGGGUGAUCGGCCACACUGGAACUGAGACACGGUCCAGACUCCUACGGGAGGCAGCAGUAGGGAAUCUUCCGCAAUGGGCGAAAGCCUGACGGAGCAACGCCGCGUGUGCGAAGAAGGUCUUCGGAUCGUAAAGCACUGUUGUUAAGGAAGAACGACAGUAAGAGUAACUGCUUACUGUGUGACGGUACUUAACCAGAAAGCCACGGCUAACUACGU
rnacentral:rRNA from 1 species